AAAUUGAAGAGUUUGAUCAUGGCUCAGAUUGAACGCUGGCGGCAGGCCUAACACAUGCAAGUCGAACGGUAACAGGAAGCAGCUUGCUGCUUUGCUGACGAGUGGCGGACGGGUGAGUAAUGUCUGGGAAACUGCCUGAUGGAGGGGGAUAACUACUGGAAACGGUGGCUAAUACCGCAUAACGUCGCAAGACCAAAGAGGGGGACCUUCGGGCCUCUUGCCAUCAGAUGUGCCCAGAUGGGAUUAGCUUGUUGGUGAGGUAACGGCUCACCAAGGCGACGAUCCCUAGCUGGUCUGAGAGGAUGACCAGCCACACUGGAACUGAGACACGGUCCAGACUCCUACGGGAGGCAGCAGUGGGGAAUAUUGCACAAUGGGCGCAAGCCUGAUGCAGCCAUGCCGCGUGUAUGAAGAAGGCCUUCGGGUUGUAAAGUACUUUCAGCGGGGAGGAAGGUGUUGUGGUUAAUAACCACAGCAAUUGACGUUACCCGC
rnacentral:rRNA from 1 species